rnacentral:lncRNA from 1 species
GAACAAGAUGCCAUGAGGGGCUCAUAUUGACAUGGGCCUUUUUAGCUUGCAGGUUAUCGAUUGCUGAGUUGGUUAUAGAGAGAAAGGGGGGGAAGAAAUUGAGUGUCAGCAGGGCGGGAGGCCUUUCAUUCUUUUCAUGAUGAACAUUUUCUUACAAGUCCACAUGUUUGUUCAUACCAUAGAAUCACACGCUGUGAGUGAGCUGUAGGCAGUAACAGCCUGUGUUGUUUUAUUGUUCUUUUGAUUUGUCUUCAGAUUCAAGCUUAUCCAAAAAUCUAUGCCAGGUGGAAAAGAAGUGAACAUCAAAAUUGAUCUUACACAAUAGAGAACAAACAACGCAUCAGAAAAUUCUACAAAGCAAUCAGCGGGGGGAAGCAAAAGCUUGGAGCUGACUCCCAAGGAAGCAAACAACUGGUAGGAAAGGGGAUAAGAAGUGUUUGCCCACGUUUCUUUAUCACUCAAAUCCCCCUUAGAAGCCAACUUAAAAAAAGAAAAAGAAAAGAAACUUCAAGGAAAGAAACGUUAGAACUACAUACAAUAUCCCACAGAAAAAGUAAGAUAAUUGCAACAUAGUUGUAUAUUUCUGCUUGUUUCUUUUAAACAGCAUUUCACCCAAGGUCACAUUUAAAAAGAUGCAUUUUUCUUAAUAUUCAGUAAAUUGUAAAAAGGAGCAAAAUUGAACCAUGCCUCAGAGAGAGCAGAAUUGAGAUUCAAACUACAGAUCUGCUCAUUUCUCUAAUCUAAACACAGGUAUUCCAAAGGAGGCUGUUGUUAUAUUCAGAAGCCAGCUCCACAAGUAAAAGAAGAUUCUUUGAAGUAUCUUAGUUUAAUGACAGGACUGCAGGUAAUUAUUACCCAGAGGUUGCUGUCAAAAUACGACAUUUUUACCAACAGCUUAUCAUGAGAUAUCGCUUAGAUUAGUGACUUCCUGCCACAACACAGGGAACAGAGAGUUCCUCUGUACCCAUUGGAAUUUAGGAAGAUGAAAUUUUCACUGAGAGUUGGUGCCGAGGAUAGCAUGGAAGCAAUGAACGUUUCUGCUUAAGAUGCUUAUAUUGAAAUAAAAGCAUCCAUUUCAUAUUGGGUAACUUCUGA